ACGGGUGAGUAAUGUCUGGGGAUCUGCCUGAUGGAGGGGGAUAACUACUGGAAACGGUAGCUAAUACCGCAUAACGUCGCAAGACCAAAGAGGGGGACCUUCGGGCCUCUUGCCAUCGGAUGAACCCAGAUGGGAUUAGCUAGUAGGUGGGGUAAUGGCUCACCUAGGCGACGAUCCCUAGCUGGUCUGAGAGGAUGACCAGCCACACUGGAACUGAGACACGGUCCAGACUCCUACGGGAGGCAGCAGUGGGGAAUAUUGCACAAUGGGCGCAAGCCUGAUGCAGCCAUGCCGCGUGUGUGAAGAAGGCCUUCGGGUUGUAAAGCACUUUCAGCGAGGAGGAAGGCAUUAAGGUUAAUAACCUUAGUGAUUGACGUUACUCGCAGAAGAAGCACCGGCUAACUCCGUGCCAGCAGCCGCGGUAAUACGGAGGGUGCAAGCGUUAAUCGGAAUUACUGGGCGUAAAGCGCACGCAGGCGGUUUGUUAAGUCGGAUGUGAAAUCCCCGGGCUCAACCUGGGAACUGCAUUCGAAACUGGCAAGCUUGAGUCUUGUAGAGGGGGGUAGAAUUCCAGGUGUAGCGG
rnacentral:rRNA from 1 species